rnacentral:lncRNA from 1 species
UAAAUAACGAUAAACUUAUUUCACACUGUUCCAAUGUCUUCAAGUUGGUGAGGAACUAUAUCUUGCUAGCAAAUUCACAGAAAAUGCUAUCAGGUCUUGUACAAUUAGCAAGAUACAUUAAUGCUCCAAUAGCACUAAGAUAUGGUACUUCUAGAUCAAGUAUUUCUUCACCAUCUUUUCGAGAAAGAAAAUGAUCCUUUUUUACAUUCUGGUGUCUAACAAUCACUGGAGAACUCAUUGGAUAAG